rnacentral:lncRNA from 1 species
GGAAAUGUAAAUCCCUCUUUCUCUUUAUUGUGGGGGGCCACAAGCAUUAAUUUAAUAUAUAUAUAUAUAUAUAUAUAUUGUCCUAAGUUGUACAAUGUAAAGGCAAUAUAUAUACUAUUUCAGAAUUUUGGGAGGGCCAAGGCCCUUGCAGGCCCAAGCACACCUCCGCCCCUGUCUCUCCUCCUUUUCUUUAGGCCUCU